rnacentral:tmRNA from 1 species
ACUGGUUUCGACGGGGGAAGCGGUGGCAGAAGAAGCGAGCCGGGGUCGCGUUAGCCCGUAAAACGGCGCACAACAAUCAAACGCUAACAAUAAUUACGCUUUAGCUGCCUAAAGCAGCUUUACCUCUUACCUUCUGUUCCUGCGGUGAGGGAUAAGGGGUCAAAUUAGCAGGAUACUCUUAGGGGAGAGUCGCAUAACCUAAGGGGAAAUUAAUGGGACUGGCGCAAAGGAAUCCGUGCCUAUCUGGAGUCCGGCGGGCGAGAAUUAAAUUAUAGGCUGCGCUCGGAGAUGCUUCUGUGGUCGUUCUUUCGGACAGGGGUUCGAUUUG